UACGGAGGGUGCAAGCGUUAAUCGGAAUUACUGGGCGUAAAGCGUGCGCAGGCGGUUUUGUAAGACAGAGGUGAAAUCCCCGGGCUCAACCGGGGAACUGCGUCCGAUACUGGUGGGCUCGAAUCCGGGAGAGGGAUGUGGAAUUCCAGGUGUAGCGGUGAAAUGCGUAGAUAUCUGGAGGAACACCGGUGGCGAAGGCGGCAUCCUGGACCGGUAUUGACGCUGAUGCGCGAAAGCCAGGGGAGCAAACGGG
rnacentral:rRNA from 1 species